rnacentral:rRNA from 1 species
UACGAGGGGGGCAAGCGUUGUUCGGAAUUAUUGGGCGUAAAGGGCUCGUAGGCGGUUCGUCACGUCGGGGAGUGAAAACUCGGAGCUCAACUCCGAGCCUGCUUCCGAUACGGGCAGACUAGAGGUAGGCAGGGGAGAGCGGAACUCCUGGUGUAGCGGUGGAAUGCGCAGAUAUCAGGAAGAACACCGGUGGCGAAGGCGGCUCACUGGCCAUAUACUGACGCUGAAACACGAAAGCGUGGGGAUCAAACAGG